rnacentral:rRNA from 1 species
AGCAGCCGCGGUAAUUCCAGCUCCAAUAGCGUAUAUUAAAGUUGUUGCAGUUAAAAAGCUCGUAGUUGAAUUUCGGGAUCAAUGCUUCGGUCAUGCCGUUGGUAUGUACUGAUAUUAUUGAUUUCUCACCUUCUAAAGAACCGUAAUGCCAUUAAUUUGGUGUCACGGGGAAUUAGGACUGCUACCUUGAAAAAUUAGAGUGUUUAAAGCAGGCUCACGCUUGAAUACAUUAGCAUGGAAUAAUGAAAUAGGACAUCCGAUUCUAUUUUGUUGGUUUCUAGGAUCGAUGUAAUGAUUAAUAGGGAUAGUUGGGGGCAUUAGUAUUCAAUUGUCAGAGGUGAAAUUCUUGGAUUUAUUGAAGACUAACUACUGCGAAAGCAUUUGCCAAGGAUGUUUUCAUUAAUCAAGAACGAAAGUUAGGGGAGUCGAAGACGAGUCAGAUACCGUCGU